UAGGGAAUAUUGGGCAAUGGUCGGAAGACUGACCCAGCCAUGCCGCGUGCAGGAAGACGGCGUUAUGCGUUGUAAACUGCUUUUAUACGGGAAGAAAAAGCCACUGCGGUGGAAAUUGCCGGUACCGUAUGAAUAAGCACCGGCUAACUCCGUGCCAGCAGCCGCGGUAAUACGGAGGGUGCAAGCGUUGUCCGGAUUUAUUGGGUUUAAAGGGUGCGUAGGCGGCCGAUUAAGUCAGCGGUGAAAGUUUUCGGCUCAACCGGAAAACUGCCAUUGAUACUGGUCGGCUUGAGUGUUGAUGGGGUACCUGGAAUUUAUGGUGUAGCGGUGAAAUGCAUAGAUACCAUAAGGAACACCGAUAGCGAAGGCAUGGUACUUAUCAACAACUGACGCUGAGGCACGAAAGCGUGGGUAGCGAACAGGAUUAGAUACCCCCGUAGUCC
rnacentral:rRNA from 1 species